rnacentral:rRNA from 1 species
AUUGAACGCUGGCGGCAGGCCUAACACAUGCAAGUCGAACGGUAACAGGAAGAAGCUUGCUUCUUUGCUGACGAGUGGCGGACGGGUGAGUAAUGUCUGGGAAACUGCCUGAUGGAGGGGGAUAACUACUGGAAACGGUAGCUAAUACCGCAUAACGUCGCAAGACCAAAGAGGGGUACCUUCGGGCCUCUUGCCAUCGGAUGUGCCCAGAUGGGACUAGCUAGCAGGUGGGGUAACGGCUCACCCAGGCGACGAUCCCUAGCUGGUCUGAGAGGAUUACCAGCCACACUGGAACUGGAACACGGUCCAGACGCCUACGGGAGGCAGCAGUGGGGAAUAUUGCACAAUGGGCGCAAGCCUGAUGCAGCCAUGCCGAGUGUAUGAAGAAGGCCUUCGGGUUGUAAAGUACUUUCAGCGGGGAGGAAGGGAGUAAAGUUAAUACCUUUGCUCAUUGACGUUACCCGCAGAAGAAGCACCGGCUAACUCCGUG